rnacentral:rRNA from 1 species
GUCGGGUGGGAGCAUGUGGUUUAAUUCGAUGCAACGCGAAGAACCUUACCUACUCUUGACAUCCAGAGAACUUAGCAGAGAUGCUUUGGUGCCUUCGGGAACUCUGAGACAGGUGCUGCAUGGCUGUCGUCAGCUCGUGUUGUGAAAUGUUGGGUUAAGUCCCGCAACGAGCGCAACCCUUAUCCUUUGUUGCCAGCGGUUCGGCCGGGAACUCAAAGGAGACUGCCAGUGAUAAACUGGAGGAAGGUGGGGAUGACGUCAAGUCAUCAUGGCCCUUACGAGUAGGGCUACACACGUGCUACAAUGGCAUAUACAAAGAGAAGCGACCUCGCGAGAGCAAGCGGACCUCAUAAAGUAUGUCGUAGUCCGGAUCGGAGUCUGCAACUCGACUCCGUGAAGUCGGAAUCGCUAGUAAUCGUGGAUCAGAAUGCCACGGUGAAUACGUUCCCGGGCCUUGUACACACCGCCCGUCACACCAUGGGAGUGGGUUGCAAAAGAAGUAGGUAGCUUAACCUUCGGGAGGGCGCUUACCACUUUGUGAUUCAUGACUGGGGUGAAGUCGUAACAAGGUAACCGUAGGGGAACCUGCGGCUGG